AUUGAACGCUGGCGGCAGGCCUAACACAUGCAAGUCGAGCGGAUGAAGGGAGCUUGCUCCUGGAUUCAGCGGCGGACGGGUGAGUAAUGCCUAGGAAUCUGCCUGGUAGUGGGGGAUAACGUCCGGAAACGGGCGCUAAUACCGCAUACGUCCUGAGGGAGAAAGUGGGGGAUCUUCGGACCUCACGCUAUCAGAUGAGCCUAGGUCGGAUUAGCUAGUUGGUGGGGUAAAGGCCUACCAAGGCGACGAUCCGUAACUGGUCUGAGAGGAUGAUCAGUCACACGUGAACUGAGACACGGUCCAGACUCCUACGGGAGGCAGCAGUGGGGAAUAUUGGACGAUGGGCGAAAGCCUGAUCCAGCCAUGCCGCGUGUGUGAAGAAGGUCUUCGGAUUGUAAAGCACUUUAAGUUGGGAGGAAGGGCAGUAAGUUAAUACCUUGCUGUUUUGACGUUACCAACAGAAUAAGCACCGGCUAACUUCGUG
rnacentral:rRNA from 1 species